rnacentral:rRNA from 1 species
AAGCCAGACUCCUACGGGAGGCAGCAGUGGGGGAUAUUGCACAAUGGGGGGAACCCUGAUGCAGCGACGCCGCGUGGGUGAAGAAGCGCCUCGGCGCGUAAAGCCCUGUCAGCAGGGAAGAAAAUGACGGUACCUGAAGAAGAAGCCCCGGCUAACUACGUGCCAGCAGCCGCGGUAAUACGUAGGGGGCAAGCGUUAUCCGGAUUUACUGGGUGUAAAGGGGGCGCAGACGGCAGCGCAAGCCAGGAGUGAAAGCCCGGGGCCCAACCCCGGGACUGCUCUUGGAACUGCGUGGCUGGAGUGCAGGAGGGGCAGGCGGAAUUCCUGGUGUAGCGGUGAAAUGCGUAGAUAUCAGGAGGAACACCGGUGGCGAAGGCGGCCUGCUGGACUGCAACUGACGUUGAGGCCCGAAAGCGUGGGGAGCAAACAGGAUUAGAUACCCCCGUAAA